rnacentral:rRNA from 1 species
AAUAGAUACCCUGGUAGUCCACGCCGUAAACGAUGAGUGCCAAGUGUUAGAGGGUUUCCGCCCUUUAGUGCUGCAGCUAACGCAUUAAGCACUCCGCCUGGGGAGUACGGCCGCAAGGCUGAAACUCAAAGGAAUUGACGGGGGGCCCGCACAAGCGGUGGAGCAUGUGGUUUAAUUCGAAGCAACGCGAAGAACCUUACCAGGUCUUGACAUCCUCUGCCAACCCUAGAGAUAGGGUGUUCCCCUUCGGGGACAGAGUGACAGGUGGUGCAUGGUUGUCGUCAGCUCGUGUCGUGAGAUGUUGGGUUAAGUCCCGCAACGAGCGCAACCCUUGAUCUUAGUUGCCAGCAUUUAGUUGGGCACUCUAAGGUGACUGCCGGUGACAAACCGGAGGAAGGUGGGGAUGACGUCAAAUCAUCAUGCCCCUUAUGACCUGGGCUACACACGUGCUACAAUGGACGGUACAAACGGUUGCCAACCCGCGAGGGGGGGCUAAUCCGAUAAAACCGUUCUCAGUUCGGAUUGUAGGCUGCAACUCGCCUAC